rnacentral:rRNA from 1 species
UACGUAGGAUGCAAGCGUUGUCCGGAAUUAUUGGGCGUAAAGGGCGCGCAGGCGGUUUGUCAAGUCAGAUGUGAAAGCCCCCGGCUUAACCGGGGAGGGUCAUUUGAAACUGACAGACUUGAGUGCAGCAGAGGAAGGUAGAAUUCUGGGUGUAGUGGUGAAAUGCGUAGAUAUCCAGAGGAAUACCAGUGGCGAAGGCGGCCUUCUGGGCUGUAACUGACGCUGAGGCGCGAAGGCCAGGGGAGCAAACGGG